AUUGGCAUAGGUCAAUUGCUCUGUGUAAGCAUUACGCGACGCGCAAGCGGCAGUCGGGUAAAAAAAACAUGACGUCACGGCGCGUAAGCAGUUCCACUUCAGUUUUUCCGUUGUUCAAUUUCUUUCUUGGCACGGAAGCGUACUCGCCUUACGAUUGGACGAUAUUUUUUUCGCUGAGUCAUGGACAGAUUUUUACCCGUUUCUCCGUUACCCGACGCGCAUCGGUUACCCAAAUGCAAUUGACCUAUACCACU